GGACAGUGAUUUUGGACAGGAAAGCCAAAAGCAAAACUAACAAAAUACAUUAUAAGUAAGAACAUAUAAACCAACUCUUGGCAACUGAGAAAAGAGGAUGUGACAUGUUCAUCCAUUGAUUCAACCAGUCCGAAAAGAAUUGUGUUUAUUUUACACUGAGAAGUUUGAUCCCUUGAGUUUCUCUUUCCUUUGAGCAGCAGAAGAACCAAAAAGGAAUGAAUUCUAAACACCCUGAGAAAACAGAUUUGUGGAAAUACAUAGGAGAUGUGUUCAAGAAGAGUUUACUCAAGUGAAAGCAGAGUCUUUACAGCCCUGCCAAGGCCAUUGAAUCCUGUGGUGUUUCCUCAUGGCUCAGCAUCCACUCUCCCAGCCAAGGGGGGCCCAUCCUUUCCUCCAGGCUGCUCAGGAAGCCUGGUGCGGUCAGGUCUUGCUAUUCAUAGGCUCAUUAUUCAGCACCCUGGCUUCUGCCUCCACUCUGCUCCCGCCUGUCUACCACUAUUUGGCCAUUUCACUGCUUGCUCUCAUUGCUGCCGGAAAGCAGGCAGCAGGGAAAAUAAAUGAAACAGCCAUUGUUGCAACUGCCAAACAGAAGUCAUGAACGAUUGGGCUGAAAGGGAAGUGGACAUUCGCGCCCCAAGUGAAGGUUCAGGAUAUGCUGAGAAUUCUGAGGGCUCAUCCUAUCUUUAUCUAGCAUGGAAAAUUGAAAUUUGAAUGUUGACUAUGCCCAGAUCAGAAGGAAGGUGGAACUCAGAAGAAGACAUGAUUAUCACAAAAACAGCAGAAGACCUAAUGCAUCCCUGGGAUUGAGGUAGGAGAUCAGCUGGACUUGUUUUCUGAGCCUCAGUCUCCCUGCUGCUGAUCAAGACGGGAUGUGGCAAAGAAAACCUGCUAGAACCAAGAUGGCGAUGAAAGCGAUCUCUAGUUACCCUCACUGCUUAUUUGCAUUUGCCUAAGAUGCUCCCAUCAGAGCCUUGACAGUUUACAAAUGCUGUGGCAAUGAUCCAGGAGUUACCUUGUGUGAUUCCAGGAACCCUCCACCCCUUGUUCAUGAAUAACCUUAACCUGUCCCUUAUUUAGCAUGUAAAUAAGAGUCGGUAUAAGCAGAGCUAGCCAGCAAUCCACAGAUGCUCUUCUGUGCUACUCUACCUAUGGGAUAGCCCUGUUUUGUCUACAGAGCAGCCAUUUUGUGUACACUGUUGCUCUAAUAAA
rnacentral:lncRNA from 1 species